rnacentral:rRNA from 1 species
UGGGGAAUAUUGCACAAUGGGCGCAAGCCUGAUGCAGCGACGCCGCGUGGGGGAUGACGGCCUUCGGGUUGUAAACCUCUUUCAGCAGGGACGAAGCGAAAGUGACGGUACCUGCAGAAGAAGCACCGGCCAACUACGUGCCAGCAGCCGCGGUAAUACGUAGGGUGCGAGCGUUGUCCGGAAUUACUGGGCGUAAAGAGCUCGUAGGUGGUUUGUCGCGUUGUUCGUGAAAACCGGGGGGCUUAACCCUCGGCGUGCGGGCGAUACGGGCAGACUAGAGUACUGCAGGGGAGACUGGAAUUCCUGGUGUAGCGGUGGAAUGCGCAGAUAUCAGGAGGAACACCGGUGGCGAAGGCGGGUCUCUGGGCAGUAACUGACGCUGAGGAGCGAAAGCGUGGGGAGCGAACAGGAUUAGAUACCCUGGUAGUCCACGCCGUAAACGGUGGGUACUAGGUGUGGGUUUCCUUCCUUGGGAUCCGUGCCGUAGCUAACGCAUUGAAGUACCCCGCCUGGGGAGUACGGCCGCAAGGCUAAACUUAAAUGAAUUGACGGGGUCAUAGCUGUUUCCU